UCUUCCAGUGCGAUGCCAGUAGCACCCUCAACUGUGAAAAUAAAAAAUGUCUCCAGACAUCGCCACUUGUUUCCUGAGGGCUAAAUUACCAGUUGUUGUAAACUACUGUUUUACAUACUUUUUGGUUUUUUAAUCUCUAAAGAGAGGAGUUGUGAAAAGAUGUGUCUUUUCCAGCUCUGAUAUUCUCUGACCUGUCCAGCUAUGCUCACAAAAUUGAUGAGAAACUCUAUCUGUUCUUAUCAGAUGCAGAUAAGAAACGUGGGAAGCCACAAGAAAGCCAAGUAGCCUGGGAAAAAGUGGUCAUUGAGCCAUGAGAAAAAAUUAACAUUUGAUCCUGUUGGUGCCACCUGAAGGCAGAGAUGGCUGAGGACCCCCGAGUAAUGUAUGAAUGAAAGACUUAAGAAUACAUCUGACCCAGGCAGCCUGGGUUCAACUCUCCAUGUGAGAAUACCAAGCUUGGCUGGGCACAGUGCCUCACAUCUGUAAUCCCAACACUUUGAGAGGCUGCGGCAGGAAGAUUA
rnacentral:lncRNA from 10 species